rnacentral:tRNA from 1 species
GCUGUGGCUGGGGCUCAGUGGUAGUGCACUUGCCUGGCAUGUGUGAGGCACUGGGUUCGAUUCCCAGCACUGCG